UUGAUCAUGGCUCAGGAUGAACGCUAGCGGCAGGCUUAAUACAUGCAAGUCGAGGGGCAGCAGCUUUAUAGCAAUAUAGAGGCUGGCGACCGGCAAACGGGUGCGGAACACGUACACAACCUUCCUUUAAGUGGGGGAUAGCCCAUAGAAAUGUGGAUUAAUACCCCGUAAUAUUAUUGAAGUGGCAUCACUUUAUAAUUAUAGUUUCGACGCUUGAAGAUGGGUGUGCGGCUGAUUAGGUAGUUGGCGGGGUAAAGGCCCACCAAGCCUUCGAUCAGUAGCUGAUGUGAGAGCAUGAUCAGCCACACGGGCACUGAGACACGGGCCCGACUCCUACGGGAGGCAGCAGUAAGGAAUAUUGGUCAAUGGACGCAAGUCUGAACCAGCCAUGCCGCGUGAAGGAUGAAGGUCCUCUGGAUUGUAAACUUCUUUUAUAGGGGGCGAAAAAAGGGAAUUCUUUCUCACUUGACAGUACCCUAUGAAUAAGCACCGGCUAACUCCGUGCCAGCAGCCGCGGUAAUACGGAGGGUGCAAGCGUUAUCCGGAU
rnacentral:rRNA from 1 species